AAUGAACGUUGGCGGCGUGGAUUAGGCAUGCAAGUCGAGCGAGAACCCAGCAAUGGGGGACAGCGGCGCAAGGGACAGUAAUGUGUAGAUCAUCUGCCCUCAGGCCCGGGAUAGCUGCGGGAAACUGCAGGUAAUACCGGAUAACAUCUCCGGAUCAAAGGUGUGAUUCCGCCUGAGGAUGCGUCUACAUCCUAUUAGCUAGUUGGCAGGGUAACGGCCUACCAAGGCGAUGAUGGGUAGCGGGUGUGAGAGCACGACCCGCGUCAUUGGGACUGAGACACUGCCCAGACACCUACGGGUGGCUGCAGUCGAGAAUCUUCGGCAAUGGGCGCAAGCCUGACCGAGCGACGCCGCGUGCGGGAUGAAGGCCUUCGGGUUGUAAACCGCUGUCAGAGGGGAUGAAAUACAGGUGGGUUCUCCCAUCUGUUUGACAUAGCCUCAGAGGAAGGACGGGCUAAGUUCGUGCCAGCAGCCGCCGUAAGAC
rnacentral:rRNA from 1 species